ensembl:lncRNA
UGCGUGGUCGGGCUGUGCUGGAGGUGCUGUGGGAACUGAGGGCACUGUGCUGUGUGGUUGCUGCGCCUCUGGCAGAAGUGGGCAUGAAAUGGAGAGGGAAAAUGAGCAGAUGGGGGGGUGGACCCUGCUGACAUUGAGCCCCAAAGGCAAAUGGCUGCUAGAGCCAUGCUCUGCUCAGCUGCACUGCUUUAAAAUAAUAUGAAUUAAAAAAUAAAGAAAAUAAAGCAUACGCUGUGCAUGUGACUGAGCCCUGUUUUGUGUAAAAUGACCAGAAAAUAAAAUCCCCAGGAGAGCUUAACUUCAUGCCGGAGGAAAACAGCUGAUGUGGGAGCAGGGAAUGUGUUCAUUCCUUCUGGAAAACAGCUCUGACUCUACAGCUGUAGGAGAGGAGUGCUUUGUACACGAAAAUUGAAAUGAAAGUCUUGGCAUGUAUGAGGGAUGCUUUUCCUGGUUUCUAAUCGUUUCCUAUGGAGCCCUUCAGCUCCCACACACAUGCAUUGAAUUUGACAGUGAUGAAGUUUAUCUAUUUUACCAAUGGAAAUGCAGUUAAGCUCAUGGGAACAAUACAGUUUUUGAAGUGGGAAUUCAGCUUUGCAGGUAACCAACGACUUUCACUUCAUUUUUAUGACAGCAAUAAAGGCAAACCCUAGGCUAAAUUUAAUUCCAAUUAAUUGGAAGCAUUGUUGAGGAUGCGUUGUGGUCAAACGAUAGCGAAUGUUUGAUCUGCAGAUGUGACUGCUGGUCGGGGCUGGGCUGGGAAGGGCAAAUCACAGAAAUCCCUGCACAGCCACCUCCCACAGCACAGACCAGAAGGCUAUUUCGUAAGUAGUGAGGUUGGAGUCUUGCUAAGUAAGGGCUAAAGAAGCCUUUAAUAUGUUUUUAUGGAUUGUUCAGGUGAAUUUUCCCCUGGGCACGGUCCCAAGCCGUGCUCACUGGCAAUGCCCGUAUCCCGGCCCCUCAUCUCUUUGUUUGACAUCUCUCCAAUUUAGGCAGCCAUUUUGUGUUCAGUAAAAAAACACACGAUGAAAUGAGGAGACAUCCAUUGUGGUCCAUCUCCCGGAGAUGCUAUUUUGGGAUUUUAUUUUGUGCUCAUCUUACCCCGGAGCAGCUGUAAUUCUACCUACAGAUGCCUGUGAGUUGAAACCCACCAUGUGAAUGGAUGCAGCCUCACCAUCGGGAUCCCAAAAAUGAAAUGAACAUCACUGGAAGCGAGUGCUGCUCCUACCCACAGCAUUCUGUGUUGUGCCCUCAGUGCUGAUGGCCAGGUCAGGAGAGAGCAACGUGGGGCAGAGCUGUUCUCUCUGUGCCACGGGGCUGCUCUGGGGGCUCAGGGCGCUGUGCUGCAUCAUCUUCUCUCCCUCCCCGCCACCCCACAGCCACCACUGCAUUUCCUUCCCUAUCCUCCCGAAAGUCCCCGAGCUAUUAAGUAGGUCACGAGAGCUGGUCCCCAUCCAGCAGUUUGUCUAAUUGCCUUUUUAUAGUCGCACCGUGCCACUCUUCAUUAUGCUGUCAGUGCUGCGGGAGGACGGGGCGGGGAGUGCCCGGAGCUGGGGACGAUGGCUGCGGGUGAGGGGAGCGCGUCGGACUGCGGCCAUUGCUUUGCUAAGUACACACGUGUGGGUCUGGGAGGGGGUCCCCCUUCUUCAGCAGAUGUGGCCGAGGAGGGCUUUGGCAGGGUUAAGUUGCUCCCCCCGGCCUUCUCCUUGCAGUGCUGAGAUGCUCAGCGGCAGCUCUUGGUGUGCGUGGAGUUUUGUGCCACGAGGAAGGGAUGCGUGCAGGGAUUGGGGCACUGCACCCACCUCAGCACCUGCGUGGGCUGAGUGCUGCGCAGCGGGGUGAGGCUGAGCGUGCGGGGAUUGCUUUCAGUCCCUUUCUUCUUAUGGCUGUAUUUCAGUUUCAGACGUGGUUUGCAGUGCUGUUUGAGGAAGCGCACAGCUCACCGAAAGCCGUAGGAAUGAAACGCUUUGAGGUGCGGGGGCCUGGCCCGGGGGAGCAGCUCCUCCUGCCCCGGGUAAUUGCACUGCCAUGGUGCUCCGCAGCUCGGAGAGGGGCUGGCACCGAGGGCUGCAGAAGCACAGCCUGCUCAAGCUCAGCCUUUCCUGCCUUCCUCAAACGAUUUUUAAGCAUGAGGAGCUCUGUUCCCCUCACUUUGUUAAUCAGAAAUCCCAGCCCCAACCCCUGAGCCUGCUCUGUGCAGAUAAGGCAGUGUCUCUCCUCCAUCUGCACCUCCUGCAGCCGAGCGGUCAGGACGGGCUGCUCCCCCGGGGCUGCUCCCCGAGCGGUGCCGGGACCCCCAUUCCUCCCUCCUGCGGGGGGAGAGGCGCCCGAAGCCCCCAGCGCCAGGCAGAGGGAGCGCCCGGCAGCCUCGGAGCAGGGACUGCAGCUCGCUUCUCGCUGCUCUCUCCUUUUAGCUCCGUCUGAAACGAUUUGCGGCUCAAACGCCCCCGCGAGACCCGCUAACCUUUGGGUAAGGUUUGGCUUCGCGAUCUUGCUUGGGUUCAAUAGGAAUUAGGGGGAGCACAGGAGGGACGCGGCUGCAGCCCUACACCCCCCAUCCCUGCAUCCUCCAUCCCCGCACACCCCAUCCCCGCAUCCUUCCAUCCCCCCAUCCCCGCAUCUCCCCAUCCCACGUACCCCAUUCCUCCCAGUCCCGCUCCCGGCGGAGCAGCGCGCUGCGAGCAGCAGAGGUGAAUGCCCCGAUCCUCCUCGCCAUCUCUCCGUACCUCUCUUUUUCUUCUCUUCCUCUGCCUCUCUCCUCCUUUUCCUUCCUUUUUCUCUUUUUAUUUCCCCUCCUUUCGCUGCGUUCUAUCCCCAUUUUCAGCCGCCGGCAGAAGUUCGGGGCGAUUUUUAUUUCCAGGCGCCGCCGAACAAAAUCUCCUUCUCCCACCUUCGGACGCGGGGCAGCAAUCGGGGCUGCCCGGGGUGCGGUCCCCACGGCGGUCCCCCUGGGCGGGGGGGGGGCUCAGCGAUGCCCCAGAAGCGGGGGGGAAUUUGGGAGUCGAGGAAGAGCCCCGGUGUCCCGCACCCCUCGGAUGCCCGCAGCGCUGAGCCCGCCGGCGUCCCUCACCCUCCCGUUUAUCUCCGUGUCUCGGCACGUGUAUGCCGGGGCCGUGAGGGUUUGUGUGGGGGUACCGCCGUAUCCAGCAGCAGCACAAAGCCCCGCGCCCCCGCCCAGAAGCACCCUCCCCCGGCUGGCGCUGCCUGGGGACACGUUUGUCCCGCACCGGACCGGGGUCCUCUUUAGGCUCCGUGGACGUUUUCCGGUGUUUUUAAUGAUGAUUAUCAUCAUUAUCUUAAUGGUGCUUCUAAAUAUGUCUCCCGAGCCCGACGCACCCCUCAGAUCCGCACCGCGCGGGCCCUCAGCGGUGCAGGGCCGGGGCUCUGCGGGGCGAGAGAUGGGGAGGAGGGGGGAAAUGCCCCAGUGCCUCCGCAGCACGCCGCGAUUUGGGCGAAUAUUCGUUGUUUCCUCCCUGACGCCCUCUGCGGCCCCCAACAUCGAUCUCCUUCGCGUCUUUUGCAAUGAAUUUAUCGUUGGCUAAAUAAGAAAUAAUAAUAAUAAUAAUAAUAAUAACGAAAUUUAAAAAAGAAAAAAAAUCAUUGCAUGAACCCCGAGGUGUUCUUCUGCGCGCUCUGAUGGCUCGGUUUUAUUUUGGUUUGGUUUUGUUUUUUCUUUGUUUCUCGACCUAUUUGUGCGCUGAUUUGUGUUAAUUCCCGCCCGGCGCAAUGCGAUCCCCGUUGGGGUCGGGCCCGGAGGGCAGCGGCGGCCGAGAGACCCCCGUGGAGCGCAGCCCCGCUGCGGCGACGGCUCUUUUUGACGCAUUUCAUCCGCUUUGCACCCAAUUCCCCUCCUGCUUCCGUCAGAAGGAAAAUACAGCAAUAAAUAAAAUAAAUAAAUAAAUAAAAAAGAAGGGGGGGGGGGGGGGGGGGCGGUAUGUGAGGCGUUUUCUGGAAGCUCCGCUCCGUGCCGCACCCCAACCGCAGCCCUCCCCUCUUCCCCCCCCCCUCUCCCCCCAAAGAACGGCAUCAGAAAAUCAUUCAGUGUCGGGUUUUCCGUUUUCUGUAGUAAAACAAAAAUGCUCGUUGUGACCUCCGAAAAGCAGCGAACCAAACAGGCGCUCCCCCCACCUCCACUUCGGGAACGUCUAUUAUUCUUUCUCUCCUGAACCACAGAACCGCGGUGAUCCCCACGCAGUGCCGCAGCGGUGCUGUUUACCACCGGCCCCGAACCCCAAAUGCCGCCGCUCCCCCCGCGCCGCCCCGCACGGAUCUCCCGUGGCCGUUAUGUGCAGUGCGGGCUGCGCACCUCGGGGACAAUUAAACAAAGAAAACUCGCGGAGGGCUUUUCUGUUCAACAUAUGAAUUCUGUGCAAUAAGUGGGCGCACUGCGAUGGAGACGCGGUUCUCUCUGCCAGGGGUUUGCACCGGCCGCCCGCUGACAGCCGUCGGUUGGUGACAGCCGCCGUCCGGUGACAGCCGCAGACCUGUGACCACCGCAGCCCGGUGACAGCCGCCGUCCGGGAGGGACCGGCGGAAAGGAGCGGAGCGGCGCGGAGCGGGGCGGGAGGG